CGACGUUGUCUCUUUCUCUCCUCUUCACGCCCUUUUCCACAACAAAACACUCUGUCCCCAACUUCAGAAACCCACACACCACAGCAGCGUCUCCACUCUCUCACCACAAAUCUUCAGCUCUCCAAACCCUCACUCCGCCUCUCAUUUUCUGCUUUCAAUUCUGUGGGUCUGUUGAGGUCAAAGAGUUUUGUUUAGAGGGCACACAUAGCUGAUUACAUGCCUGGAGCCAGCAGGGCAAGUUUGAUUCUAUCUAUGAUUUUAGUAUCUCUCUGCUAAAAAGGGGUGGACAUUUCACCUCAAUGUCGGAGGCAAGUGCUAGUAGCUAUAAUUCCAACUAUAGGGGGCAUGUGUGUGACAUGGAUCAGUGUGUGUUGUGCACAUCUUUGCAGCUCCAUAAUUUCGGUAGACAGUUUUAUGGCUAUAGACAUUGGAAGCCUGGCAGCGACGAACAUUGUAAGUCCUUUAAGUGGUUGGAUGGCAUCCCAUGUAGGCGUGGAGAGUGUCAUUGCGAAAUUUACUAGGCUUGAGGCCAAGG